CGUCUGCCCCAAUAUUGGCUGGUGGACCUCCGUCGCUUGGCAUACUACUCGGCAAUGAUGUGACUGGAUUCAUCCCUGGGAUCCAUGGAUAUGGCAUCCAUUGGUAGGGAUACGCCGAAAAUGGUUGACCCAGAUUAAACUGAGCCGGAGCAUUCUGCCAAUACGCAUGUGGAUUUUGGAUCUGGCCGAGUUGUUGUUCGGUCACAGAAGUGCCAAUACCAGCACUGGAAGUUUGAGGAGUCGUCGACAUUGGUUCAUUUGGAUUGAAGGAUUGGGUUCCUUUAGGCAAUCAACAGAGAUGGUGCGGAAGCAAUGUCAGAGUCAAAGCUCUGAUACCAUGUCAAAAUGUGAAGGGAAAGGUAAAUCGAGAGAGAUGAGGUGUAGGAAUUUCUGUGUAUUUCUCUAUAUCAUAAUAUGAGCACAAUACAUUGUAUUUAACUACAAAGGAAGAAAUAAUAAAGGAAAAUAAUUAUCCCUAUC